UCCUGCAGGUUAAACGAAUCGCCUUAGAGUUGAUCAUGGCUCAGAUGAACGCUGGCGGCAGGCUUACACAUGCAAGUCGAGCGGCAGCGGAAAGUAGCUUGCUACUUUGCCGGCGAGCGGCGGACGGGUGAGUAAUGUCUGGGAAACUGCCUGAUGGAGGGGGAUAACUACUGGAAACGGUAGCUAAUACCGCAUAACGUCGCAAGACCAAAGAGGGGGACCUUCGGGCCUCUUGCCAUCAGAUGUGCCCAGAUGGGAUUAGCUAGUAGGUGGGGUAACGGCUCACCUAGGCGACGAUCCCUAGCUGGUCUGAGAGGAUGACCAGCCACACUGGAACUGAGACACGGUCCAGACUCCUACGGGAGGCAGCAGUGGGGAAUAUUGCACAAUGGGCGCAAGCCUGAUGCAGCCAUGCCGCGUGUAUGAAGAAGGCCUUCGGGUUGUAAAGUACUUUCAGCGGGGAGGAAGGCGUUGAGGUUAAUAACCUCAGCGAUUGACGUUACCCGCAGAAGAAGCACCGGCUAACUCCGUGCCAGCAGCCGCGGUAAUACGUAGGUGGCAAGCGUUGUCCGGAUUUAUUGGGCGUAAAGCGAGCGCAGGCGGUCUCUUAAGUCUGAUGUGAAAGCCCACGGCUUAACCGUGGAGGGUCAUUGGAAACUGGGGGACUUGAGUGCAGAAGAGGAGAGUGGAAUUCCAUGUGUAGCGGUGAAAUGCGUAGAUAUAUGGAGGAACACCAGUGGCGAAGGCGACUCUCUGGUCUGUAACUGACGCUGAGGCUCGAAAGCGAGGGGAGCAAACAGGAUUAGAUACCCUGGUAGUCC
rnacentral:rRNA from 1 species